rnacentral:rRNA from 1 species
GAUGAACGCUAGCGGCAGGCCUAACACAUGCAAGUCGAGGGGCAGCACGUCUUCGGAUGGUGGCGACCGGCGCACGGGUGCGUAACGCGUAUGCAACCUACCUCUUACAGUGGGAUAGCCCAGAGAAAUUUGGAUUAAUACCGCAUAGUAUACAGAUUCAGCAUUGGGACUGUAUUAAACAUUUAUGGGUAAGAGAUGGGCAUGCGUUCUAUUAGUUAGUUGGAGUGGUAACGGCACCCCAAGACAGCGAUAGAUAGGGGCCCUGAGAGGGGGAUCCCCCACGACUGGUACUGAGACACGGACCAGACUCCUACGGGAGGCAGCAGUGAGGAAUAUUGGACAAUGGGCGAGAGCCUGAUCCAGCCAUGCCGCGUGCAGG